AACGCGAAGAACCUUACCAGGGCUUGACAUGGGGAGGACGCAGCCAGAGAUGGCUGUUCCCGCAAGGGCCUCCCACACAGGUGCUGCAUGGCUGUCGUCAGCUCGUGUCGUGAGAUGUUGGGUUAAGUCCCGCAACGAGCGCAACCCUCGCCUUCAGUUGCCAGCAGGUUUGGCUGGGCACUCUGAAGGAACUGCCGGUGACAAGCCGGAGGAAGGUGGGGAUGACGUCAAGUCCUCAUGGCCCUUAUGUCCUGGGCUACACACGUGCUACAAUGGCGGUGACAGCGGGAUGCCAGGUCGCAAGGCCGAGCCGAUCCCAAAAAGCCGUCUCAGUUCAGAUUGCACUCUGCAACUCGGGUGCAUGAAGGUGGAAUCGCUAGUAAUCGCGGAUCAGCACGCCGCGGUGAAUACGUUCCCGGGCCUUGUACACACCGACAUA
rnacentral:rRNA from 1 species